rnacentral:rRNA from 1 species
GACGUAGGGCGCGAGCGUUGUCCGGAUUUAUUGGGCGUAAAGAGCUCGUAGGCGGCUUGUUGCGUCGACUGUGAAAACCCGCGGCUUAACUGCGGGCUUGCAGUUGAUACGGGCAGGCUAGAGUUCGGUAGGGGAGACUGGAAUUCCUGGUGUAGCGGUGAAAUGCGCAGAUAUCAGGAGGAACACCGGUGGCGAAGGCGGGUCUCUGGGCCGAUACUGGCGCUGAGGAGCGAAAGCGUGGGGAGCGAACAGG